UACGUAGGUGGCAAGCGUUGUCCGGAUUUAUUGGGUUUAAAGGGUGCGUAGGUGGUCUAUUAAGUCAGUGCUGAAAUAUCCCGGCUUAACCGGGAGGGUGGCAUUGAUACUGAUGGACUUGAAUGGAGUCGAGGUAGGCGGAAUUGACGGUGUAGCGGUGAAAUGCUUAGAUAUCGUCAAGAACACCGAUAGUGUAGACAGCUUACUAGGCUCUAAUUGACACUGAGGCACGAAAGUGUGGGGAGCAAACAGG
rnacentral:rRNA from 1 species